AAAUCGCAUCAAGGAAUCAUCCCGAGCUAGAUUAGAAAACACCUCGGAGACCCUGCGGGUAAUCUUCCGACCCGAAUUUAGCAGCGCCUCGGGUACUUCACGAUACCACC
rnacentral:tRNA from 1 species